AACAGGAUUAGAUACCCUGGUAGUCACGCUGUAAACGAUGUCGAUUUGGAGGUUGUGCCCUUGAGGCGUGGCUUCCGGAGCUAACGCGUUAAAAUCGACCGCCUGGGGAGUACGGCCGCAAGGUUAAAACUCAAAUGAAUUGACGGGGGCCCGCACAAGCGGUGGAGCAUGUGGUUUAAUUCGAUGCAACGCGAAGAACCUUACCUACUCUUGACAUCCAGAGAACUUUCCAGAGAUGGAUUGGUGCCUUCGGGAACUCUGAGACAGGUGCUGCAUGGCUGUCGUCAGCUCGUGUUGUGAAAUGUUGGGUUAAGUCCCGCAACGAGCGCAACCCUUAUCCUUUGUUGCCAGCGGUUCGGCCGGGAACUCAAAGGAGACUGCCAGUGAUAAACUGGAGGAAGGUGGGGAUGACGUCAAGUCAUCAUGGCCCUUACGAGUAGGGCUACACACGUGCUACAAUGGCGUAUACAAAGAGAAGCGACCUCGCGAGAGCAAGCGGACCUCAUAAAGUACGUCGUAGUCCGGAUUGGAGUCUGCAACUCGACUCCAUGAAGUCGGAAUCGCUAGUAAUCGUAGAUCAGAAUGCUACGGUGAAUACGUUCCCGGGCCUUGUACACACCGCCCGUCACACCAUGGGAGUGGGUUGCAAAAGAAGUAGGUAGCUUAACCUUCGGGAGGGCGCUUACCACUUUGUGAUUCAUGACUGGGGUGAAGUCGUAACAAGGUAACCGUAGGGGAACCUGCGGCUGGAUCACCUCCUU
rnacentral:rRNA from 1 species